UCCCUGGCGGCUCAGAGGUUAAAGCAUCUGCCUGCAAUGCGGGAGACUCGGGUUCGAUCCCUGAGUUGGGAA
rnacentral:tRNA from 1 species